AGUACCUCGAGAAAUCGUCCCGCAGAUCUAGGGUGGUCCGCGGGGAGGCCGUCAGGGAUGGACCGGAAGAAGAAGCUCGGAUGGCAGUUCAGACCGUCGUCGGCGCCGAGGCGGCGGUGAACGUGCUCGGUGGUGACGAAGGUGACGAGGAGACCCCUGAGGGAGAGCAGUCUGGCCAGCUUGAGCGUGGGUGAGACGUGGCCCAUCAGCGGAAGAGGGAAGAGGAUCACAUGCGGCCGCGGCGCCUCCAUGGAUCUCCCCGCCUAUCCCAGAUGGAUGACCUCUCGCAGAAAUCUCCUCUUCUAGGCCACAGCUUUGGGGAGGUUGAGAUGAGGCGUUGUGCCAGUUUAAUCUUGUAAAGGAAAUUGCUUAUAUAUCGCCAGAAAUCUCUCGAUUUUCGAAAACACGUCAUCUUUUUGCCCUACGUUCCAUGCAGGGAGGGUUAAAGCGCACUGUUUAUUAGCGACAAGUCCCUUGGUCGGGUAAGGGGAAGAAUUAUUCUAAAGUGUACUGAUUUUUUAUAAAAUAUUUUGAUUCGAUAUUUUUUGUUUUUGUUAACAUGAUGUUAUUUAAAUUUAUUAUUUCAAAAUAAAAUUUGUAUCUUGUAAUGUUACUAAAUUACCAUAGCAACGCUUGCUUAACAAGGAUAGAUCCCAGGUGAGAAGAUCAGGGACUUAUUCCUAUGUAGAGCGGUUCAUAGGUGGCUAUCGUUGAGUGACUAUUUCUAAAAUAAGAACAUUUUUAUCUCCUCCUUGAAAGCACUUCCUCUCACACCUCAGGUGAUGCAGGGUAGAAUACAAAGGGUAGAAUCUUAAAGAUUCAUGAGAGUUUUGUCAGAAAAAAGAAAUGUCAUUAUAGUCAGAAAUCUCCCGCAAUAAUAAAACAAAGGAUUGAUUGGUUUAAGAAAUAAGCUGACUAGGGUACCUAGAUUUAAUAUAUCAAAUAAAGUUUUAUCAUGGGGAAUAAUCAGCCGAAUACAAAAGGUAGCUAUCUUAUGGUUCUGUCAAGUGAUCGUGGCAAGAGAAUAUAUUAAAAGAAUAAUUGACUAGGUCACUGAUAAGAGAAGUUUAGAAAUUAUACUUAAGCCUUUGUAGGAUUUGUGAAUUCUUGAAGUUGAAUGUUGACUGGCCUGCAGUUGUUGACUGUUGACGUUGUUGAUUGUCGACUGUUGACUGAGUAGACCAGGCCAUCGGCUGUGGUGGUUUGCAGCUGAAGGGGCAGAACAGUGUUGGUCGGGAUGGCCAGAUGACUCAUGUCAAUAGAUUUGGGGCUACGGCUGGCUCAACAGGGAGAAUGGCGGUGGGCCGGCUGAAGUGGGCUAGGGAACUCAAGCCCACAAAUGAAAUAACUGUAGCUUUAAACGUGGCGAUAUCUAGCAGUGGGGAGAGAGGGAAACGGGAGGAGGCAACGACGGUGGGAGGCGAGGGCGGAGGUCGGCGGCAAACGGCAGAGGUAGGCGGUGGUAUAACAAGCCCGACAAUGAUGGGCCACGAAGAAGGGAUGGAAGCAAGCAGUGAUGGCUGCUGGAGGGGCUGCCGGUGGUGGAGAGGACGAUGGACAGGCAGCCACGGUGGAAGGGGAGGCGAUGACGGCGACAAUGGAAGGGUAUCGGCAGUAUUAGUGGUGCAAGGAGCAGAGGUUGGUGGUGAUAGAAGAAAAAGACGGGAGGGGGAAGGGUACUCCAGACCAAGAGUGGCAAGGUCCUCCAACCAACCCAAGUCAAGAUGACAAGAUCUGAUGAUCAAAUAAGGAAGAAACUCUUCAUCCCAUUUGUUGUCAAGCUAAAGGUUUGAGGGCCGAUUUAUAAGUCUCUCUACACAAAAUAAUAAAAAGUUAAUAAUAAAGAAAAUCUUCUAUUGUGGGACGUUUCUUUUGGCAGCAUGGAUCAAAGGUAACGUCCACACCUUCCACAAUAUUUCCUCCCUCGAUUUGAUUGGAUCUUUCUUUAGUUGAAGGGCAUUAUUCUCACCUUCUAUGCAUGUCGUUUCUUUGAAAUCACUUUCCUUGGUUAAUGAGCUCUUGAAGUGUGCUACAUCAUCAGGACAAGGAAGAUGAAGCUUCAAGAGGAGGAAAUCAAGCCAUUGAAGGUAUUUGACAUCUCCCCGAAACACCAGGGAGCCCUUCGACCCAUACAAGUGGUCCAAGGAGCUGUUGGAUUUUCUGCCAUACGAUCUACAACUCCUUGGUGUCCUCCCUCAUCCCCCACAUGGGAAAUUGUCAAAGCAGACCCAAUAAAUCAUCAAAGUAGUUACAUUCUCAAUGUAGAGGACCAAGAACACCAACAAUGCUCCAUGCCAUCAUUGGGCCUUAGUAACCUAGAGGACCAGUCAAACCAGAGGUCCAUGGAGUUAGGGAUCAGCGGUCAUGGCCUUGGUUAGGUUUUUAGUUGUGACCUAAAUUUAGAACUAAGUUCAGUUUGGUCAUUGUUUGAUUAGGAGCAAGAAAACCUUGACCUGACCUAUGACUUAUCUAAAUUUAAAUGCAUAUAUUUCUUCCUCUUUAUCUCUAAAAUAAUUGACUUUCUAAAACAUACAAAGUUAAUUGUAACAUCAAAUAAAUUUAGAAAAAUAAAAAAAAUUAGUUACAUAUAAUUUUCUUACAUUUAAAAAUAUCAAAAAUUCAAACCAUCUAAAUGAAAUAAAAAUUUUGAAAUCUAAACUAUUCAAAGUGGCCUUUGACUUCAAGAUAUACAUUGUCUUCUCAAGCCCAACACUUCAAGGUCAUGGGAAUCAAUGGUACUAAUGAUCGGCAAUGAAUAAGGUAAAAUGAAAACCAAUAGAGCUCCGAUGAAAUUGUCAACAAUUUAGUAAAUAUCACAUUUUAGUUCAACAUAAAUCAAGAUUUAAUCCAUAAAAAUAUGAACAAAUAUUUUAUUCAAAGUAGACAAUUUUUUUGUCAAAUAUUCAUCAUGGUAUAGAAGAGGAGAUAAUAUUCAAACUUGAGUAAGGAAAAGACAAUUGAUUCCCCACUCCAUGAGGGAAUUUAUGACCCUUUGAAUGCUCCCUUGAUCCUGAUCAAAGUGUUAGAGCAACAACUAGAGGGAGGAAGGGAUUCAGGGUUGAUGAUUAGAACAAAAUCAAAGAAGGAAGGAGAUAGAGAAAGAGAGUGAGGGAGAGAGCCUAAUAGAAGAAGACAUGGACCUAUGGUGCUAGAGAGAGGAACGAAUGGUGGCAGAGGAUCUUGUGAAGCUGAAAGAGGACACAUGGUGAGGGAGGAUAAUGUAGUAGUGGAAGGUCCUAUAGUGUUGAAGGAGGAGUGUGUAAUAGUAGAGGAGCCUGUAGUAGCUGAAGAUCUUGUAGUGGCGAAGGAGCAUGUGGUGCCAAAAGAGAAUGCAAAGAAAUGGAGGAUCUUAUGGUGGUGGCAGAAGAAAUAUGUGAUGGCAGUAGAAGAGAAGCAUGUAGUAGUGGCAAAAAACCUUGUUGAUGAGGGUGGGGAAAGAAAGAAUCUCUCUCUCUCUCUCUCUCUCUCUCUCUCUCUCUCUCUCUCUCUCUCUCUCUCUCUCUCUCUCUCUCUCUCUCUCUCUCUCUCUCUCUCUCUCUUUCUCUCUCUCUCUCUCCCUCUCCCUCUCUCUCUUGACCAUUGAAUCAUUCGAUCCUUCAAUCAUCAUUUUUUGACCAUAAAGACCGUGACAAAACCAAAAUCACAGUCAUAGCCUUUUUGCUUGACCAUCGAUCUCAAUUUUGGUUUGGUCAACUAAAUUUAGGUUAUGACCACUUAUCCCUACCUAGAGUCUCAUCACCAUUGAGAUGUCCCUUAACCUAUUGAUCCCUCUCGAAGUGUUCAUGGUAGGAGACCAUGCCGCUCUUUUUUUUUUCUCACUUUUGAACCACAUACCAAGGAGGAGAGGACCUCAUGUAGGUACAAGUGGCUCAUGCGCAAUGAUCAUUCAUCUGGUUUUGGGAAAUAAUCCAACCAAAGACAUCAUGAUUAGAGAUGUUACUACACAUAAUAUAUUAAUAUGAGAUAUUCUAAGCCUAUAGCUGAUCUAUAAUUGGAACAGGUUUGAUUUAUUCAAUUUUGAGUCCAAAUAUUAUAAAAAUUAUUACUUUGCCAAUUUUCAAAAAGUUAUGUAUGCCAUUGAUAAUAACCAACUUAAAAUUAAGAGUAAAUUGUACAUGCAUAUCAUAGAUUUCAUUUUAGUAUUGUGUCACAAGUUGACUAAGAUUUUUCUUCUCUACAUGGGGUUCUUCCUCCGUCACACAUGUAUGUGUGAUAUUCUAUAUUUGAUCAAAUGGUUUUGGUAUUUUUCUCAUUGCUAUCAUGGUUUUGAUAUUUUUUUCAUUGUUAUAAGAAGAGUUAACUUUCUUAUAGAGAUUAUAUUCAAAACAUGGUCCUACCUAGUCAUCUUGGCAUUGUUGUCACUCCAAAUGGAGAAUGAAGUACUAAAUAUGAUUGGCAGGUGAGUAAGUACCAAUCAUAGGAUAUGUGUUACACCUCGAAGGAGAUGUGGCAUUAGAUUACUCUAUUCCACUCUCCAGUCACCCUAUGGGACCCAAAAGGGUGUCUUGUUAUCUCUGUGAGAGUCCCCCCCUCCUUUCUUUUCAUGUUUGCCACCUUGCCUUUUGCUUACAUUGCUUGAUGGGGGUAGGCUAGCUGUUACAAGGGUGGGCUAGCCAUUACAAUUGGUCACAUGCUAGCCAUUGGUGUGCCUCAGUCAUCCCUUUGACCAUUUCGACAUGUCAUAGCAUGUGGAUCUACAUUCCUGUCAUAGGUGGGAGUGGUAGUCUUUGCACCUCCUCUUGUAGGUUGUCUCCUGCCACAUGAUGGGUCACGUGUUUGGGAACCCAUUCUUGUUUGGGUCUGCCUAAGCCAUGUGUGCCCAUUGUGCAACACUUGCACACACCCAUCAUGUCAGCUAUUCUUCAAACUCUCAGAUAUCAUUUUCUUUCUACUAGGUCAUCAUUUUUAAGUUGUGGUGACUGUCCUCAUUCAUAAACUUGUGAGAUAUGAGAUUACUAAUAUUCUUUAGGAAGGCUGAGCUCGCUAAGGGAGGUUGGCUUGUGGGCUGAUUCCUCUUCAGAUUAUCCAUAAGUGCCCUGUAUAUGUGAAAGAUAGGAUGGAUCAACAAUCUUAGAGGUAGUAGUAGUAUGUAUGCUACUGCACCAAUAUGCUCUAUAAUGGUGAAAGGACUUUCAAUUCAUGAAAGCAAAUUGUAAUUCUUCGUUGGGUCUCUCAUGCAUCUAUGGAUCUCUAGGUUCAUUCAAAGUAGCUCUAGAUCAUUAGGUUGGAAUUUGACCUCCCGUCAAUGAUUAGAUGUUUGCUUUUUCAUUCUAUUAACUGUUCAUUGGUGGUUGUGUUUAUGGUCUCUAGCAUCUCCAUAUGCCCUCCAACUAGUCUAGAAGGUGUGUGGCAUUGCCGAGGCAUGCCUAAUAGUUGAAGAGGCAUUAGUGGUUGGCACCCUGUAACUAGCUUGAAGGAGUAGCAUGUGACACUACUCUUUUAGAGGUUGCAUGCUAAUUGCAUUGUGUUCAAAAGAUUUGCCUAGUCCUCUUGUUUGGUCAAGAUGAACUGUCUGAGGUAUUCUUCCAAUAAUGCAUUGAGACAUUAUGUUUGACCAUCUAUUUGUCAAUAAUACGUCUUUGAGAAGUGGACUUGUGUUCUAAGCUUGGCAAAUAAGACAUUCUAUAAUCAUCUUGUAAACCAUGGAUCUCUAUCCAAGAUUAUCAUUUGGGGUAGGCCCAAAUUCUUCACCACAUUCUUGAACACCAAGUGUGCUGCCUCUUCCAUGGAACAAUGCUAAUUGGUGGGUACAAAGAUGCCGUACUUUGUGAACUUGUCAACAAUGACCAAGAUAGCACCAUAGUCUCCAUUCCAAGGCAAGCUUGUAAUAAAACCUAAGGUGAUCAUGUGUACCUCUAGGAUAGGUAAUGGUUGUAGCAGUCCUGUUUGUCGUCACUGCUCUAUUUUCUCCUACUACCAAAUCAAACAUGAUUCCACGUAGGCUUCAACAUCCUUCUCCAUCCUCUAGGAGAAGCCCCUACUCAGCAAAGCCAACAUUCACUAUUACCUUAAGUGUCCCAACCAUUGUGUGUCAUGUGCUUCUAUGAUCACCUUCCGCCAAAGGUCGCUUGCUGUCAAGAUGUAUAUUUACCACCCUCAUGUGAAGAUCAAGCCUAUAUCAAUCUAGUGUUGUCUCAUCAUCUCAUCCUUGAUGCGGGUCAAGAGCUUAUUGGUGUGCAUGUCCUACUUGGAUGUCAUCUUAACUUGAUGGAGGAGGUUUGCCAAGGGGCUUAGCAUUUAGUUCCAUCGCUGCUCAAAGUGUUGGUGAUCACAUUUUAUGCCCCUAGUUUGUGAUGAAUAAUGAAGUCAUAAUCCACCAAGAAUUGAUGAUAUCUCACUUGCUUCCCUAUGAACUUGGGCUACGAAGAGAAAUAGUGAACUAGUUUCUCAAUAAGUACUGUCCCCACAUUCGUAGAUAAUUGAUAAUUGAUGUCAUCCCCUUGUGCUGCAUUGGACAAUUUUUUUUUAGUGUUCAAUUUAUGACUAUCAAAGGCCACUAGGUGACCCUCCUAGCUGAGUACUCCUCCCACAACCUCACUGUUGACAUCCAUGUGCAAUACAAAAAGAUUGCUAAAUUUGGUAACUUUAGGGGGUUUUCCAUUGUGAUUGCUGUCUUGAUCUUGUUUAGAGCUUCUCCAUAUCUAUUUGCCCAUUGCCAUGGCUCAUCUUUCCAAAGGUUCAUUAAGGGGGUUACCACCCGCGAGAAGCCCACAAUGAAAAGUUAAUAGUAAUUGACCAAGCCAAGGAAUGUCCUUAAACCCGUAUGUUCCAAAAACAUAACCCUCUUUGUGCCCCGGGACGGGAGUGGGGGGCAGCCCUAUGCGCAGGCAAUAGCAGCACCGGCUCUACUUUUUUUCUUUGCAUUGGUUGGUGUCGGCCACUCCUUGAUAGCCUUCACCUUGGAGUCAUCCAUUUGAACCUUCCCAACCCUCCUAUGAUGUGUCCAAGGAAGUUCACUUCCUUUGUGGCAAAUUUGGACUUUACAAGGUUGAGAUACAAGUUGUUAUUCUCAAUUAACUCAAGUAUUGUGCGGAGGUGGCCUUGAUGCUCUUGAAUGUUACAAUUGUAAAUGAGGAUGUCAUCCAUAUAUAUCGCGACAAAGACUUUUAAAUACAAUUAAAAUAUGGGGAUCAUUAGUAUGCAAAAUAUGGUCAAAACAUUGGUGAGUCCAAAAGUCAUCACUGUAAAUUCAAACGAGCUAUAUAGCAUUACACAAGCUAUUUUAGGCUUGUCUUCUUCUCUAAUCCACAAUUGGUGGUAUUUGCUCUUCAAAUCUAGUUUGGAGAAGACCCGAGCUGCCCCAAUCUAUCUAACAAAUCUUCAACAUUUGGGACUAGAUACCAAUUACAUAUUGCAAGCUUAUUGAGACCUCUAUAGUCAAUGCACAACCAAAUAUUUAUGUCUUUCUUUUUCUAAAACAGCAUUGUUGCUCUGAAUGGUGACUUGGAUAGUCAAAGGUGUCCCAACUGUAGCAUACUAGGGGGUUUGCUCCCAUAACUGACUCUAUAGCAUGGUCCACCCCUCUUCUCAACAGCAGCUCUAUGAGUAACUUCUCCGAUAGCCUAUUAACAAAUUUGAUUAGUAAUUGUUAAAUUUCAUUUGGGGUAUUCAUAUGUUUCUCCUACCUACAAACUUGAACAUAUAGUAGAAAAAAAAAAUUCCCCACUUUCAAUCCUUUUUGUACCUGUUGAGUCGAGAUAGUUGCUUCCCAUGAUUCAUACUUCCUUGCCGAUGUUACCUCUAUAGUUGGCACAAAGUAGGGAGGGCUGCCUCCUAGAAUUGCUACUCUGUUUGAGAAUACACCCACUUGAACCUCUAUAAGAAAGUUAAUUUCCAAUAUGGUGUCAAAGGAAGUAGGGAACAUUACUAUGUAGUCGAGGUGGCCAUCCCACAUGUCGACUUUUGUGUGUACCACUUUGGCCACUCCCAUUAGUGGCUAGGCUGAUGAGAUUACGACCUUGAACUUUGUCUUUGUAGGUUCUACCAUCAAGCUGAGUCUCUAAGCUUCCAUCACGGCCAUGAAAUUACUAGUGGUGCUGCUAUCUGCCAUUACAACCAUCAAUUCCUCAUCCAUAUGAGCCUUGAUGUACACCAACUUCUUCUUGGGGUCUGGCUUUAUGGGCUGUAGGCAGUUGAUGAUUUGAAAAGAAUUUAACUCAACCUCCUCUCCUCCCUCAACCUUACAUUGGUCCACCAUCAUGUUGAGGUGAGAUUUCUUGCUUCCCAUGUGGUAAUUUCAUUUGUGGUGUGGUCCUUUACAGUUGAAGUAGCCCACGUUUGGGGGUUUGCCUAGUUUCGUUGGUUGGGAUAGUUCAGGCAGCAGUAGGGUCGGAGGUCCCAUACACCCUCCCCCGUCCCCCAGAUCGUCCUCCCAUGUGGCUUCCGCCACGGUUGGCUUGAGUGUCUUCUUGUGUUCACUGGGGACGGCGGAAAUCUUUCAAGGAUUCCACUGUCUUUUAUGCAGCGUCCAUGGUAGUUGCAUUCCGUCUUUGGAUCUCUACUCACGCCCACAGCUGCAGCCUGACGAGGAAGAACUGGAGCCGAUUCAUUUUGCCCAUCUCCUGGAUGUCAAGCAUCAACGUCCUAAUUUCUAGAUGUACUCUUGCAUGGACCCUAAUUGCUUCAAUAUUUUCAGUUCCUUGAUGACAUCAUCCUCCCGCAUGGAAGGCUUGAAAUAAUCUCGAAAUCGGGCCUUGAACUCUUCCCACGUUCCGACUGUCACACUCUUCUUGGCCCUCCACCACAGUGAAGCUGCAUCCGUGAGGAACUGGCUCAUGAUGCACGGUCGGUCAUUGUCCACGACUUCAUCGUCAUCCAAGUAGUUAUCUAACUCCCAAAGGAAAUGGUCUACCUUUGACGUGUCGUACUUUCCCGCGAACGUCUUGAGUGAGGAUAGCGCAGGGCACCUCCGGCUGCUGGCCUGCCCACUGCUCCCUCAUCGGCAGAGUUCUUCUCUCAGGGUGCGUAUACCCAUUCACAGCUCCUCCCCCCAGUGCUGCUCUACCCAACUUGUGUUACUCACGGACACCCUUUGCAGCUCCUCGAAUCUUCUAUUUGUGGUUCAAGUGUGCUCCUUGAGUUAAUCUUGCAGCGUGGUGAGGCGUUGCUCCCACCUUGACAAGGACUCCUCUAGUAACUUCUCCAUCAACUGUAAGGCUUGUCGUGUUGAGUAGAGCUCCUGCUCCAUCCUUCCAUGGCUCUGAUACCACUAUUACACCUCGAAGGAGAUGUGGCAUUGGAUUACUCUGUUUUGUUCUCUAGUCAACUUGUGGGUCCAAGAAGGGUGUCUCAUUAUCUCCGUGAGAGUCCCCCCCUCAUUUAUUUUUCCAUCCACCCCCUUUCCCCUUGCUUGUAUUGCUCGGUGGGGGUGGGCUAUCUAUUACAGGGGCAGGCUAGCCAUUAUAGUUGGUCGCUGGCUAGCCGUUGGGGUGCCUCAGUCAUCCCUCCAACCAUUUGGAUCUACCAUACUAGACGGAUCUACAUUCCCAUCAUCGAGUGGGAGCGGUAGUCCUCACACCUGCUCUCGUAGGUUGUCUCCCGUCACGUGCUGGGUCACAUAUUUGGGAACCCAUUCCUGUCUGGGUCCGCCCGAGCCAUGCGUGCCCACUGUACUGUGCCUGCGCACGCCCGUUGUGUCGUGUGUGCUGGCCGUCCUAUCACUUACCUCGUGAUAAUACUACUUUGCACUUAUGAAGUACGAGGUUAUCAUGGGUUAGGAUCAUCCAGUAAAGAUAGAUGGUUAUCCUAUGAUCGCUUAGUGACAACCAUAAAAAGAAUACAUUAAUUGAGCAAUUGAGAGACUCUGAAUGCAGAUGUUGAUCAUUGACCUUUUGAAUAAAGGGUUGCCCUUGACUCAUGGCUGAUAGUUGUUUGUCAUUGACAUUUGAUCACACAGUCGGGGUGGCAGGCGUGGAUCACCCGCGCGAUGGAACGACGCCGGCUUGGACCGGGCCAGAGGAGAGUGGUACGGUAGUAAUGAACCGAACCGGUUCGGCCCGUAGCUCGGGAAAGAAUUCGUGCGAGAAUGGAUGGUGGCGGGGGCACUGGCGGCGGCAGUGAGGCGGUCGGCGAUGGGGACAGACGAUGGCGAGGAGGACGACGAUGGCAGGGGCGAAGAAGGCGCUGGGUGGUGAGGCAGAACAGCGACGGUGGGAAUAAAGGUGAAUGGGCAAGAUGAAGGAUGAAGAGGCUAAGCUGUCCGCGACGGUGGCGAUGGCGGAUGCGGAGGGAAGGGCGGCAGCGGAUGAGGAUGGCGAUGAACGGUGGCGGCGGCAGUAGCAAUGAAGGCGGCAACGGAAGUAGACCUGAUGUAGCAAAUGGUGAAGGUGAUGGAAAGGCUGGCGGCCGAUGGACGACGAUAGACGAGAGGUGGACGAUGGUUGAAGGAUGGCUGCCGGAUAACAGGUGGACGACGAAGGUGGCGGAAGACGAAGGCGCCGGCGGACUUGCGACCAUCUCCAUAGAGGAGCGACGAACACAGCUAUCAAGGUUUCCUACUCAAGGGCGAGGUCAAAGCUAUAUAUAGCCCCAAAUCAGGCCGGGCUGGCUUAGUUCAUCUGCCUGGCCCAUUACAGUUAGAAUAGGCUCACGUCCUGCGUCACUUCCCCACGAUGUGCCGAAGGUGGUCGUUCGUCAUUCAGCCCGGCUGGCCAGUGGCGCCACCGCCUCUGCCACCGCCACAGUCCUCCACAUCAAUUCUCAGCCUCAGGUUCACACUCUCAUUAAAAAAUGAUUCACACUACUCUACUUUUGUUGAAUAUAGGGUUCUCGAUGACUUUUCUUUACCCCAAAGAUCCGUCAUAAAGAUGAUUUUUCAGCAAGUGGGUUUGGGAGUCCUGUCAUUUUGAAAUUUGUUACACUUGGACAUUGUAGAAUGCGAACAUAUCUUAUUUGUAUAAGUGUGGCAUUCCUUUUUUUACUAUUAUACAUAUCCAAAGUGUACCCAAUCGACUAGUGGUGACUAAGAAAUAAAAAUAUUAGAGAAAAUACUUAAAAUGACGCCAUUCUCCGCCUUUCUUUCUUGGGUACCAAAUACUACUUGACCUGAGUCUAAUCGAUGUGAUCGUUGACAUUUGUAUAGACCAGCGUCAAACUAAUCCGCUCGUGACAGGCUGGCAAAACCAAGGAAUAAUGGACAAUAACGUUCCCCAAACAUAGAUCACGGAAGACACUAAUUAUCGCGGCUUAUGCUGGAUUUAGUUUCCGGGGGACGUCUCCAGACUCAGGGCCCGAAUAUCCUCAAUCAACUGGUCCAGCUGGAUGCGGGAGGAACCACCUUCAUCGACGCACUCCUGCAUCACCUCCGACAGUCCAGCGAUGUUCCUCCUCAUGUCUUCGGCCCUUUCUCCUUCCAUCGCCUCCUUCACCAUCCUGCCCACGGUUUCUCUGUCGCAGGUGUCCUUCAUGUCCACUCCGAUCCUCCACACCUCGCUGAUGAACCUGCUGUUGACCAUCUGAUCGUAAAAGAAAGGCCAGCAGAUCAUCGGCACGCCGGCGGAGAUGGCCUCGAGCGUGGAGUUCCACCCGCUGUGCGUCAGGAAGGCCCCCACUGCCGGAUGGGCCAGCACCUCCCGCUGGUCCACCCAUCCCACAAUGUACCCCUUCUCCUUGGUCGCCUCCGCCAACUCCGCCGGCACCUCGCCGGCGCCGUCCGUCUCCUCCAGCAAGUCGUGGCGGAUGACCCAGAGGAAUCUGUAGCCGCUGUUCACCAGGCCGUGCCAGAACUCCAGGAUCUGGUGCCUGGUCAGCACGAUCAGGCUGCCGAAGCUGACGUAGACGACGGAUUUGGGGGGUUGGCCGUCGAGCCAGGUUACGCAGGUACGGUCCUCUCGCCACCACCCGGGGGGGGGGAGAGGCUGACGGAGUGUCGGCGGCCCUCCCCGUGCGACGAUCCAGUGCGCAGAGGAGGGUAUCGAGGGGCCCGACAGUAUAGGUGACGGGGCAGGUGGACCGGAUGUGAGCGAGCACAGCGGCGUCGAGGGGCUCCCCGGUGUUGAAGAUGAGACCUCUGUAGCGUGUUGUCCUCUGUGUCGCUGAUGCCAUUCGUACGAGAAGAGGAUCUUCCGGGUCUUUGGCUCGGCAGAAACCCGGAAGGUCUCGCCGCCUCAGAAAACUCUCCAUCCCAGGGACGCUUUUCACGAGCUCGUCCAUGUCGCAUCCUUCUGUGGCGGAGGAAACGAGCUCAAAUGAAACACGAGUGGAUUUCCGCGGAAUACGCUUAAUUGUGAAGGCUUCUCUCACCGGGGAAGGAGAUUUCCCCUGCUUCGAUGAGCUUCGGGAUGCAGAAAUAAGCCCAGAAGCUGCAGGGGCCGCUGGUGCGGAAGGCAAUGACCGGAAUCCCCUGCUCUUCUGGCACCUCCGCCGCAAACGGCAGAAGCCCGUCCACGAUGGCGCACGUCACCGGCCACCGCUCGCCGAUGGAGACCAACAUAUCUCGGUAUGUCUCCCGGGACUUUGUGACAAGCGAGAAGACCACCUCCGUAAAUCGUGCCGCAGAUCUCGGGUGGUCCGCGGGGAGGCCGUCAGGGAUGGACCGGAAGAAGAAGCCCGGAUGGCAGUUCAGACCGUCGUCGGCGUCGAGGCGGCGGUGAACGUGCUCGGUGGUGACGAAGGUGACGAGGAGGCCCCUGAGGGAGAGCAGCUUGGCCAGCUUGAGCGUGGGUGAGACGUGGCCCAGCAUUGGAAGCGGGAAGAGGAGCACAUGCGACCGCGGCGCCUCCAUGGAUCUCCUCGCGCCCUUCACAG
rnacentral:lncRNA from 1 species